UACGGAGGGUGCAAGCGUUAUCCGGAUUUACUGGGUUUAAAAGGUGCGUAGGUGGGUAGGUAAGUCAGUGGUGAAAUCUUCAAGCUUAACUUGGAAACUGCCAUUGAUACUAUUUAUCUUGAAUACUUUGGAGGUAAGCGGAAUAUGUCAUGUAGCGGUGAAAUGCUUAGAUAUGACAUAGAACACCAAUUGCGAAGGCAGCUUACUACACAGUUAUUGACACUGAGGCACGAAAGCGUGGGGAUCAAACAGG
rnacentral:rRNA from 1 species